ensembl:snRNA U6 U6 spliceosomal RNA
UGCCUUAGGCAGAACAAUGAAAAUGAAAUGAUACAGAGCUUAGCCUGGCCCCUGAACAAAGAUGUCAUGUACAUUUGUGAAGAGGUUCAUACUUUU